CUUGUACCGAUUGGAUGAGUUGCGAACGGGUGAGUAACGCGUAGGUAACCUGCCUGAUAGCGGGGGAUAACUAUUGGAAACGAUAGCUAAUACCGCAUAACAGUUGUGAUUGCAUGAUGACAACUUAAAAGGGGCAACUGCUCCACUAUCAGAUGGACCUGCGUUGUAUUAGCUAGUUGGUGAGGUAACGGCUCACCAAGGCGACGAUACAUAGCCGACCUGAGAGGGUGAUCGGCCACACUGGGACUGAGACACGGCCCAGACUCCUACGGGAGGCAGCAGUAGGGAAUCUUCGGCAAUGGGGGUAACCCUGACCGAGCAACGCCGCGUGAGUGAAGAAGGUUUUCGGAUCGUAAAGCUCUGUUGUAAGAGAAGAACGUGUGUGGGAGUGGAAAGUCCACAUAAUGACGGUAUCUUACCAGAAAGGGACGGCUAACUACGUGCCAGCAGCCGCGGUAAUACGUAGGUCCCGAGCGUUAUCCGGAUUUAUUGGGCGUAAAGCGAGCGCAGGCGGUUAGAUAAGUCUGAAGUCAAAGGCUGUGGCUCAACCAUAGUUUGCUUUGGAAACUGUUUAACUUGAGUGCAAGAGGGGAGAGUGGAAUUCCAUGUGUAGCGGUGAAAUGCGUAGAUAUAUGGAGGAACACCUGUGGCGAAAGCGGCUCUCUGGCUUGUAACUGACGCUGAGGCUCGAAAGCGUGGGUAGCGAACAGGAUUAGAUACCCUGGUAGUCCACGCCGUAAACGAUGAGUGCUAGGUGUUAGGCCCUUUCCGGGGCUUAGUGCCGCAGCUAACGCAUUAAGCACUCCGCCUGGGGAGUACGACCGCAAGGUUGAAACUCAAAGGAAUUGACGGGGGCCCGCACAAGCGGUGGAGCAUGUGGUUUAAUUCGAAGCAACGCGAAGAACCUUA
rnacentral:rRNA from 1 species